GAGCGACGUCUGCAUGAAAUUUUAUUGCCACGCAAGGCUAGUCUCUUUUGCUCUACAUGUUCAGUUCCAUUGUGUACAAUAACUCGAAUUUUCCGCAAUGGGCGAAAGCCUGAUAGAGCAAUGCCGCGUGGAGGUGGAAGGCCUACGGGUCAUCAACUUCUCUUCUCAGAGAAGAAACAAUGACGGUAUCUGAGGAAUAAGCAUUCUGUUACUUUGAAAGUAGCUGCU
rnacentral:ncRNA from 1 species